rnacentral:rRNA from 1 species
AUUGAACGCUGGCGGCAUGCCUUACACAUGCAAGUCGAACGGCAGCACGGGAGCAAUCCUGGUGGCGAGUGGCGAACGGGUGAGUAAAGCAUCGGAACGUGCCCAGUCGUGGGGGAUAACGUAGCGAAAGCUACGCUAAUACCGCAUACGAUCUGUGGAUGAAAGCGGGGGACCGUAAGGCCUCGCGCGAUUGGAGCGGCCGAUGUCAGAUUAGGUAGUUGGUGAGGUAAAGGCUCACCAAGCCGACGAUCUGUAGCUGGUCUGAGAGGACGACCGACCACACUGGGACUGAGACACGGCCCAGACUCCUACGGGAGGCAGCAGUGGGGAAUUUUGGACAAUGGGCGCAAGCCUGAUCCAGCAAUGCCGCGUGCAGGAUGAAGGCCUUCGGGUUGUAAACUGCUUUUGUACGGAGCGAAACGGCUUCCACUAAUACUGGGGGCUAAUGACGGUACCGUAAGAAUAGGCACCGGCUAACUACGUGCCAGCAGCCGCCGUAACAC